CUCCGCCGGCGACCGGCGCACGGGUGAGUAACACGUAUGCAACCUGCCCCUGUCAGGGGACAACCCGCCGAAAGGCGGGCUAAACCCGCGUACAUGCCACCGGGGCAUCCCGGAGGCAGGAAAGGCUUCGGCCGGACAGGGAUGGGCAUGCGGCGCAUUAGGCAGUAGGCGGGGUAACGGCCCACCUAACCGACGAUGCGUAGGGGUUCUGAGAGGAAGGUCCCCCACAUUGGAACUGAGACACGGACCAGACUCCUACGGAAGGCAGCAG
rnacentral:rRNA from 1 species